UCAAGUUGACCACAGGGAUGUACUGGUGUCCAGGGGAGAGUCUGUCAUGUUCACUUGCAACAUAUCCAAAGAAAAUUCAACGCAAAUUAGCUGGACAAAAAGCAGAACUCUUUUUGUUUAUACAGUUGUACACAAUCUAACUUUUUCAAAUCUCACCUCUCACAGACUAAGAAUAGACCUAAAUUUACCUUUAAAUCUGAAUAUUUUUAAUGCUCAGCAUGAAGACGCAGGACUUUAUACAUGUAAUGUAGUUGGUACAGACGGUCCAAAGACAAUUGAGUGGAAUUUAACGGUGUCUAAUAAACUUGAAGAAAUCAAUUCAUCGUGGUAUUUUCUGUACAUACUCACACCUGGACUUUUUCUAUGUGGCUUCACUUCAGCUGUCUGUCUCUGCAGCCUAGUUAUCAUCUUCAUCAUUCACCCUCAGCCCAGAGUUAAACCUGCAUGCCCUUCUGUUAUAACCUGGUUCUAACACUGCUGUCAGCUUCUCAGCAGCUCUGACAACAAACUCACCUCAGAAAUGUCAAACUAUGAAAACUUACACGGACCAUACUGUCUAACUAUCGUUCCUCUUUCUGCAUAGCACAAAACAGCUUCUUGAGCAAACAGCCAGCCAUCACUCUUUAAUACGGGAGACCGCAGAUCAAGACCAUGUCGGUAUUUUACUUGUUCCCUUCACAACCAACCUGCCGUUUAACACAGCUGUUUAAAAGAUGUUGAUGGGCAGAAGGCCUAUUUAUGUUAGUAAGUAACAUGUAACUAUGACAAACACAUAGCCUA